CCUCAACGAGCCUCUCGCAGGGCAGCAGCACGAGUUCUUCCUUCAAAAUUAUAAUGCCCCAAAUUUAAAAAGGUCGAUUUGCUUGAGAAUGCGGCGGUUGGUGAGGUGGAGGUGCUCUCGUCGGUGUAGGAGGAGGUGAAGAACAAGAACUUCGAGUUGGUGUCUUUAACUAUUUUUUGAGUUUGGUAUAGAAGGACCAUGUAUUUGAUGCCUAGGGGAGAGAGGAGGUGGCAGAGCCACAGCCCACAUGGCCAAAGCUGGAACUCGCACUCCUAUGGAAACAUGCUGCGUCCAUGGAUACAAGCUGCUGGGCUGCCAGAAUAAGCACGCGUUAAUACCUGUUUUUGUGCACUUGUGUGCGCGUGUAGCAGAAAUUGUCAGAAAUCUUACCGACAUGGAUAAUGAUACAUAUGAUAGGGCACGGGAAUUGCUGGAGCUUGGAUCUCCAAAAGGAUCGUAAAAUUCAUUGCAUGUUGCAGGUUUCUCCUAUCGAUCGAGGAUAAAACAAGAGAUAAUUGAUCGGGAUGGUUUACAAAUUUAUCGAUGUGUGAGGAUGUUGCAGUAGUCGGAAGCAAGAAAGACUCCGACGAGGCCAACAAGCAAGAAUUGGAGUGUUGGCAUGGAUGCCACCAC